GCGGAAGUGCCGCGGGGCCGCCUUCUCCGUCCCGGCUGCGGCCCCUGCCGGUUACAUAACCCGUCGCGCGGGGUGGGGGGGCCCGCAGUUCCACGUCCGGCUUCCCGUCUCCCCCAGGAUGCGCUGAGCCCCGCGACGCCGUCCGCUGCCGCCGGCUCCCGUCCGAGGUGUGAAUGACAGAGGUGGUGCCUUCCAGUGCCCUCAGCGAGGUCAGCCUGCGUCUCCUCUGCCACGAUGACAUAGACACUGUGAAGCACCUGUGUGGCGACUGGUUCCCCAUUGAGUACCCAGACUCAUGGUAUCGUGAUAUCACAUCCAACAAGAAGUUCUUCUCUCUUGCUGCAACCUACAGAGGUGCCAUCGUGGGAAUGAUAGUAGCUGAAAUAAAGAAUAGGACCAAAAUACAUAAAGAGGAUGGAGAUAUUCUAGCCUCCAGCUUCUCUGUGGACACACAAGUUGCAUACAUUCUAAGUCUGGGAGUGGUGAAAGAAUUCAGAAAGCACGGCAUAGGUUCCCUUUUACUAGAAAGCUUAAAGGAUCAUAUUUCAACCACUGCCCAGGACCACUGCAAAGCCAUCUACCUACAUGUCCUCACCACCAACAACACAGCAAUAAACUUCUAUGAGAACAGAGACUUUAAGCAGCAUCACUAUCUGCCCUAUUACUACUCCAUUCGAGGGGUCCUCAAAGAUGGCUUCACCUAUGUCCUCUACAUCAAUGGCGGCCACCCUCCCUGGACCAUCUUAGACUACAUCCAGCACCUGGGCUCAGCAUUAGCCAACCUGAGUCCCUGCUCCAUCCCACACAGGAUCUACCGCCAGGCCCACAGUCUGCUCUGCAGCUUUCUGCCAUGGUCCAGCAUCUCCACCAAAGGUGGCAUCGAAUACAGCCGUACCAUGUGAUACCAUUGGGGCAGCCUCCCCCAGGCCUCUGUCCUCAGCACUUUGUGGAGCCUAUUUUCCUGUCUGUCUGACUUCUGCUGUCCUUUGCAAGGAGCUGGUAGCCACCUGCCGGCCCAUCAGCCUGCCCCAGGUGCAGGCCCGGUGCUAUGCUGGCUCAGGAGCAGAGUGGAUGCCUGGUCUUCAACAGGCUCUCCUUCCUGCUUCUGGAAACUUCUUCCUCCGGGAGCCUCUGUCCUGCCUCCGUGCACUGGCACCAUCUCAAUGGCCUGGCAGGUGUUGGCUACAUUCACUGGACAAGGGCUUGCCAGGCCUCUUCUGCCUCCUCCUCCAUCUUUCCUUCAAAAUGGACUGAACUUCACUGUGAAGAGAAUGUGGACACCUUUGACCCUGAAGACACAGGAAGCUUAGAAUAAAGAGGCACAGGAAAGAGAGUACCAGGUCUUUGUAUAAGAAUCCCUAAAGAAGCUUAAACGGUGGAAGCAGUUGUCCAUGAAAGGCUGGAGGCUGGGGAGAAGGAGUAGGCUAGCCCUGCAAGAGAACUUAAAGCUUCAAAACUCAGCCCUCGCCAUAGACAGUUAGAUGGACAGUCCCCUGUUCCUCAGGCUUCCCACUACCCACUACCUAUUGUCCAGAAGGAUCAUCCUGCCUGGUGAAUCCUGGCUUGCUCUGCAUAUAGCUGACCUACACUGGGAGCUGAGACAAGGACAGGUAGUUAGCUGUUGGCUUCUGGGUUCCUUCCUUGCUCAUCCUUCUAGAAGCUGAAGCUUUAAGGUCUGUCCAGAUGCAGAGAAAAGGAGGCUGAGCUCUGCAUUGGACACCUCUGCUACUGUGGACCAUGGGACUUGGCCUUGGGCGCAGAGGGCAGUCGGUGCCUGUGGACCUUCAGCCUCUGAGGCAGAGGCUCUCCUCAGUACCGUGGAUUGUACUUACAGCAUCCCUUCCCUUGCGCCCCCAAAUGUUUGUUGCCAGAGCCCUGCCCAGUAUUGCUGCAGUGUCACUGGGGCCCUUGUAGGGCGUCCUCACAGCCCCUCACCGUGCCAGACUGAUUAGGAACAGCUCUAUUGACAGGCCUUAUUACUGAGUGCUUCCCUCUCUCAGCUUCUCCUGGCUCAAUGCUCUGGAGCCCUAGAGUCAGCCCAAGACUGCUUGGCCUCAGAGAGGAAGGAUCCUCACAAAGCAGAAAGGCCAAGGCAGGAAAAGCAUUCCCCUUCCUCAACAGAACUGGCCAGCAGGUGGCUAGUGUCCUGACUGGUCUUGGUUGUGUGCUGAGGCUGAGCCCCAUGUCCCUUCCCUUUUCAGUCAGUGAUGAUCAUGUGAUUUUCAUUUCUGCCCUGUGUGGUCAAGGAAGAACCUUCCAGAAGGUUCUGACUUGGACAUUCUUAAAUCCAAUUCAAAGGCCUCGACCUGUCUUUCCCUCCCUUCUGUUUCCUAAUUACUGCAGUGUCCAGCCCAGUGUUGAACAAAUCGUAGUGUGUAGUAGUCUCAUUACAAACAAAUAAAUCAUUUCACUAGUCUCA